rfam:Vigna angularis cultivar Jingnong 6 chromosome 7, whole genome shotgun sequence.
AAGCCAUGUGUGGGCGUCUUCCGCAAUAAACCUUUGAAUCUAUCCCAUGCUUGACCUAGAGUUUCGUCCAUGCCCUGUCUAAAAGAAGAAAUUUCCUGCUUGCCUUU